rnacentral:rRNA from 1 species
AUUCCUACGGGAGGCAGCAGUGGGGAAUUUUGGACAAUGGGGGGAACCCUGAUCCAGCCAUCCCGCGUGUGCGAUGAAGGCCUUCGGGUUGUAAAGCACUUUUGUCAGGGAAGAAAAGUUACUUACUAAUACUAGGUGACGCUGACGGUACCUGAAGAAUAAGCACCGGCUAACUACGUGCCAGCAGCCGCGGUAAUAAUC